rnacentral:rRNA from 1 species
CUACGGGUGGCUGCAGUGAGGAAUAUUGCACAAUGGGGGGAACCCUGAUGCAGCAACGCCGCGUGGAGGAUGACGCAUUUCGGUGUGUAAACUCCUUUUAUAUGUCAAGAAAAUGACGGUAGCAUAUGAAUAAGCACCGGCUAACUCCGUGCCAGCAGCCGCGGUAAUACGGAGGGUGCAAGCGUUACUCGGAAUCACUGGGCGUAAAGGACGCGUAGGCGGGUUGGAAAGUCAGGUGUGAAAUCCUACAGCUUAACUGCAGAACGGCACUUGAAACUUCUAAUCUAGAGUAUGGGAGGGGGAGAUGGAAUUAGUGGUGUAGGGGUAAAAUCCGUAGAUAUCACUAGGAAUACCUAAAGCGAAGGCGAUCUCCUGGAACAUUACUGACGCUAAGGCGUGAAAGCGUGGGGAGCAAACAGGAUUAGAUACCCCAGUAGUC